AUAAAAUAGAACAGCGUGGUUAUAAACGACACGUCUGUUUUUCCACUCAGAAGAGACGCUUCAUACAAUUAUUAUAGAACUUCACUUAAGGUCUGAGACGAUUUUCUGGUGUUUAAUUACUGUCUACGUGGUGCAUCUCGAUACUUCAUCAGCUGCUAAGGAGGCGUAGUGAACGGCAAAAGGAUGAAUUUACGUUUCUUCGAGUUUUUUUGGUAGUUGCUUCUCGUCUUCGCAAUAGCUUAAGGCGAAAUCGAUUCCUGACUUAGCAUCAAGAAGGAAAUACGCUAAUACUUACGGAAAUGUAUUCUCCUUCUCCGAGAUAUUCUUGCGGAGGACUUUAUGCACGAAAUUGCCAGUUGAUGAUGUACAAUAUGUACCCUGGAGGACUUCCGUCGCACAAAUCUAUUUCCAUGAUUCACAACCAGCUUUAAUUUUUAUCGGAAUGGAACAGAACGUGUUUCGAAGAAUAUGUGUGUCUUAUAAAAUCUGUAAGCUCUCAGUGCUUGACCAAUUUUUCGAGAGCAAUCAGCUAAGAGGUCGUAAGAAAUAUGUUAAAGGGUGCCGCAUCCGCUUCUAAAGCCAUAUAUCGAAUGCAAAAAGAAACAAAAAUACUGUAGCUUUUUCAUUAUUGUUUUAGCUACUAUUCGAGGAUGUCUUGGACUUCCUCUGUAUUAUUUACCAAUGAGGUAUAUCUUACUUCUUCAAAAGAGAUAGCGCAUUAUCUCAAACAGAAUUACAAGAAGGGAAAUUUAUCUUCAUAUUGCAGUUAUUUCGUGGUUUAUUUGGUCUCUUGAUUGAAGACUAUUAUUUUCAAUUUGUAGGAAAGACAAUUGUAACGAAAGUUCAUUUUCAUGAUAUUAUUAGUUCUUUGGUAGUUAUUAUUUCGAUUUUAAAAUAUUUAAACCCUGAUCAUGAAAAAAACAAUCCGAUAAAUUGUCAGUAAAAACUUUACAAGUCAU